rnacentral:rRNA from 1 species
UACGUAGGUGGCAAGCGUUGUUCGGAAUUAUUGGGCGUAAAGGGCGCGUAGGCGGCUUGUUAAGUCAGCUGUGAAAGCCCGGGGCUCAACCCCGGAAAGUCGGUUGAUACUGGCGGGCUAGAGUACGGAAGAGGUAGCUGGAAUUCCCGGUGUAGCGGUGAAAUGCGUAGAGAUCGGGAGGAACACCAGAGGCGAAGGCGGGCUACUGGGCUGAUACUGACGCUGAUGCGCGAAAGCCAGGGGAGCGAACGGG